CAUCUGAUUUGGAAUAAAGGUUCACCGCUAUGGGAUGGGGAUGCGUCUGAUUAGCUUGUCGGCGGGGUAACGGCCCACCGAGGCAACGAUCAGUAGGGGUUCUGAGAGGAAGGUCCCCCACAUUGGUACUGAGACACGGACCAAACUCCUACGGGAGGCAGCAGUGAGGAAUAUUGGUCAAUGGGCGAGAGCCUGAACCAGCCAAGUAGCGUGCAGGAAGACUGCCCUAUGGGUUGUAAACUGCUUUUAUGCGGGAAUAAAGUGCACUACGUGUAGUGUUUUGUAUGUACCGCAUGAAUAAGGACCGGCUAAUUCCGUGCCAGCAGCCGCGGUAAUACGGAAGGUCCGGGCGUUAUCCGGAUUUAUUGGGUUUAAAGGGAGCGCAGGCUGAAGAUUAAGCGUGACGUGAAAUGUCCCGGCUCAACCGGGGAGUUGCGUCGCGAACUGGUUUUCUUGAGUGAGUGCGACGUUUGCGGAAUUCGUGGUGUAGCGGUGAAAUGCUUAGAUAUCACGAAGAACUCCGAUUGCGAAGGCAGCAGACGAGUCCUUUACUGACGCUAAUGCUCGAAAGUGCGGGUAU
rnacentral:rRNA from 1 species